rnacentral:rRNA from 1 species
AGAGUUUGAUCCUGGCUCAGAUUGAACGCUGGCGGAAUGCUUUACACAUGCAAGUCGAACGGCAGCACGGACUUCGGUCUGGUGGCGAGUGGCGAACGGGUGAGUAAUAUAUCGGAACGUGCCCAGUCGUGGGGGAUAACGUAGUGAAAAUUACGCUAAUACCGCAUACGAUCUAAGGAUGAAAGCGGGGGAUCGCAAGACCUCGCGCGAUUGGAGCGGCCGAUAUCAGAUUAGGUAGUUGGUGAGGUAAAGGCUCACCAAGCCGACGAUCUGUAGCUGGUCUGAGAGGACGACCAGCCACACUGGAACUGAGACACGGUCCAGACUCCUACGGGAGGCAGCAGUGGGGAAUUUUGGACAAUGGACGCAAGUCUGAUCCAGCCAUUCCGCGUGCAGGACGAAGGCCUUCGGGUUGUAAACUGCUUUUGUACAGAACGAAAAGGUCUCUAUUAAUACUAGGGGCUCAUGACGGUACUGUAAGAAUAAGCACCGGCUAACUACGUGCCAGCAGCCGCGGUAAUACGUAGGGUGCAAGCGUUAAUCGGAAUUACUGGGCGUAAAGCGUGCGCAGGCGGUUAUAUAAGACAGAUGUGAAAUCCCCGGGCUCAACCUGGGAACUGCAUUUGUGACUGUAUAGCUGGAGUGCGGCAGAGGGGGAUGGAAUUCCGCGUGUAGCAGUGAAAUGCGUAGAUAUGCGGAGGAACACCGAUGGCGAAGGCAAUCCCCUGGGCCUGCACUGACGCUCAUGCACGAAAGCGUGGGGAGCAAACAGGAUUAGAUACCCUGGUAGUCCACGCCCUAAACGAUGUCAACUGGUUGUUGGGUCUUCACUGACUCAGUAACGAAGCUAACGCGUGAAGUUGACCGCCUGGGGAGUACGGCCGCAAGGUUGAAACUCAAAGGAAUUGACGGGGA